GCCCGGAUAGCUCAGUCGGUAAAAAAAAAAAAAAAAAAAAAAAAAAAAAAAAAAAAAAAAAAGUCGGUAGAGCAUUAGGCUUUUAACCUAAGGGUCCAGGGUUCAAGUCCCUGUCCGGGCG